UUCCUACGGGAGGCAGCAGUGAGGAAUAUUGCUCAAUGGACGAAAGUCUGAAGCAGCAACGCCGCGUGAGGGAUGAAGGUGCUCUGCAUUGUAAACCUCUGUAGUCGGGGACAAAAAACAGGUUACUACCUGUCUGAUGGUACCCGAAAAGUAAGGAUCGGCUAACUACGUGCCAGCAGCCGCGGUAAUACGUAGGAUCCAAGCGUUGUCCGGAUUUACUGGGUGUAAAGGGUGCGCAGGCGGACUUGUUAGUCAGAGGUGAAAUCUCACUGCUUAACAGUGAAACUGCCUUUGAUACUGCAGGUCUUGAAUCCAGAAGAGAGUUGUGGAAUUCCGAGUGUAGCAGUGAAAUGUGUAGAUAUUCGGAAGAACACCAGCGGCGAAGGCAGCAACUUGGUCUGGUAUUGACGCUCAGGCACGAAAGCAUGGGGAUCAAACAGGAUUAGAUACCCUGGUAGUCCAUGCCCUAAACGAUGAUCACUUGAUGUCGGCCCUCAGGGUCGGUGUCGAAGCUAACGCGUUAAGUGAUCCACCUGGGGAGUACGCUCGCAAGGGUGAAACUCAAAGGAAUUGACGGGGGCCCGCACAAGCAGUGGAGCAUGUGGUUUAAUUCGAUGCAACGCGAAGAACCUUACCUAGGCUUGAAAGGCUCUCUAAACCGGUGAAAGCCGGCUACCCGCAAGGGGGGGAGUACAGGUGCUGCAUGGCUGUCGUCAGCUCGUGCCGUGAGGUGUUUGGUUAAGUCCAGCAACGAGCGCAACCCCUGGAUCUAGUUACCAGCGAGUAAUGUCGGGAACUCUAGAUCGACUGCCUACGCAAGUAGUGAGGAAGGUGGGGACGACGUCAAGUCAUCAUGGCCCUUACGCCUAGGGCUACACACGUGCUACAAUGGCGUCUACAACGCGCUGCAAUACCGUGAGGUGGAGCGAAUCGCUAAAAAGACGUCUCAGUUCAGAUCGGAGUCUGCAACUCGACUCCGUGAAGUUGGAAUUGCUAGUAAUCGCAGGUCAGCACACUGCGGUGAAUACGUUCCCGGGCCUUGUACACACCGCCAA
rnacentral:rRNA from 1 species